rnacentral:ncRNA from 1 species
UAUAUAGCAAACUUAUCGAAAGACAAGGACGCAAAGCUAUUGGGUCUAAGGAACGUAUAUUCUAAGACAGCCAGGUUGC